UACGUAGGGGGCAAGCGUUGUCCGGAUUUAUUGGGCGUAAAGAGCGUGUAGGCGGCCUGACAGGUCUGCUGUGAAAACUCGAGGCUCAACCUCGAGAUGUCGGCGGAAACCGUCUGGCUAGAGUCCGGAAGAGGAGAGUGGAAUUCCUGGUGUAGCGGUGAAAUGCGCAGAUAUCAGGAAGAACACCUAUGGCGAAGGCAGCUCUCUGGGACGGUACUGACGCUGAGACGCGAAAGC
rnacentral:rRNA from 1 species